GAGCACACAGGUGGAUACCUUGGCACGACAGGCGAUGAAGGACGUAGCAGGCUGCGAAAAGCCUGGGGGAGCUGCCAACAAGCGAUGAUCCCAGGAUAUCCGAAUGGGGCAACCCACGUGGCGUCAUGGUCACGUACUCCGCGAUGAAUACAAUAGUCGCGGUAGAGCAUACCCGGUGAACUGAAACAUCUAAGUAGCCGGAGGAAAAGACAUCAACCGAGAUUCCCGUAGUAGUGGCGAGCGAACCGGGAAGAGCCUAAACCCCGCACGUGUAAGCAUAGCAGCGUUGCGUGAAGGGGGGUUGCACGGCAAUCAGUCGAGGGUGCUAUACCUCGAGGUCAGUAAGAAAUCCGAUCGAAAGACGAAGCCGGCUGGAAAGCCGCACCAAAGACGGUGAUAGUCCCGUAAUCGAAUUCGUUCGGACUGACUCGAUUGUUCGUAAGUAGGGCGGGGCACGAGAAACCCUGUCUGAAUCUGGGAGGACCAUCUUCCAAGGCUAAAUAUUCUGUCGUGACCGAUAGCGCAUAGUACCGUGAGGGAAAGGUGAAAAGAACCCCCGAAGGGGAGUGAAAUAGAACAUGAAACCGUGUGCUUACAAACCGUGAAAGGCCAAUGCGCAAGCAAGGCUAAUCGCGUGCCUAUUGAAGAAUGAACCUGCGAGUUACGUGGUACAGGCUUGGUUAAGGUGAUGAGCCGGAGCCGCAGCGAAAGCGAGUCUGAAUAGGGCAAUUCGUCUGUAUCAGUAGACCCGAAACCAAGCGAUCUAUCCAUGAGCAGGCUGAAGCAUGAUUAAUCUCAUGUGGAGGGCCGAACCUGUUGUUGUUGAAAAAACAUUGGAUGACUUGUGGAUAGGGGUGAAAAGCCAAUCGAGCUUGGAGAUAGCUGGUUCUCCCCGAAAUAGUUUGAGGACUAGCGUUGCGUAUUAAACCUUGGGGGUAGAGCACUGACAGGGCUAGGGGCCUUACCGGGUUACCGAACCCCAUCAAACUCCGAAUACCAGGGCGUAUCGCGCAGCAGUCAGACGGUGGGGGAUAAGCUCCAUCGUCAAAAGGGAAACAGCCCAGAUCAUCAGCUAAGGUCCCUAAUCGAUGCUCAGUGGUAAAGGAAGUCGUUUCGCACAGACAACUAGGAGGUUGGCUUAGAAGCAGCCACCCUUGAAAGAGUGCGUAAUAGCUCACUAGUCGAGUGAGGCGGCGCCGAAAAUGUAACGGGGCUCAAGCAUCGAACCGAAGCUAUGGGAUUACGCAAGUAAUCGGUAGGGGAGCGUUGUCGCGUAGGCUGAAGCCAGACCGUGAGGACUGGUGGACGAACGACAAGUGCGAAUGCAGGUAUAAGUAGCGAGAAAUGCGGGUGAGAACCCCGCACGCCGGAAGUCUAAGGUUUCCUGAGCUACGUCAAUCGUCUCAGGGUGAGUCGGGUCCUAAGCCGAGGCUGAGAAGCGUAGGCGAUGGCCAAGCCGUUCAUAUUCGGCUACCACCGACGUCAGUUUAGACUUUCUCGAACAGCGGCCGGCCACGAGCGAUCGUGGUCGUUUGGUGUUCGUUGAAGUCUAUGAAGUGAAGGGAUGACGCAGGAGGAUAGGUCAGCACACUAUCGGAUGUGUGUCGAAGCAGGUAGGGGGUCAGAUAGGCAAAUCCGUCUGGCAACUCCGAGAUGCGAGUGCGAGGACCCUUGUGGUCCGAAGUGAUUGACUCCACGCUGCCAAGAAAAGUCUCUAGCAAUGACAUAGGUGCCCGUACCGUACACCGACACAGGUAGACUGGCAGAGCAUGCUAAGGCGACGGGAGAACCCCUGUUAAGGAACUCGGCAAAUUAACCCCGUAACUUUGGGAGAAGGGGUGCCCCUUUUGGUCUAGUCUUCACGACGAAAGCUGAGGGGGGUCGCAGUGAAUAGGCCCAAGCGACUGUUUAACAAAAACACAGGUCUCUGCGAACGCGAAAGCGGACGUAUAGGGGCUGACUCCUGCCCGGUGCUGGAAGGUUANNUGAAGCCCCAGUAAACGGCGGCGGUAACUAUAACCGUCCUAAGGUAGCGAAAUUCCUUGUCGGGUAAGUUCCGACCUGCACGAAUGGAGUAACGACUUGGGCACUGUCUCGAUGGGGGGCCCGGCGAAAUUGCAGUACCAGUGAAGAUGCUGGUUACCCGCGGCAGGACGGAAAGACCCCAUGAAGCUUUACUGUAUCCUGAUGUUGGGUCUUGAGAUUUUCUGUACAGGAUAGGUGGGAGCCGACGAUCCGCGGGCGCUAGCUCGCGGGGAGGCAACCUUGGGAUACCACCCUGAAAAUCUUGGGAUUCUAACCUACAGCCGUAAUCCGGCUGGGAGACAGCGUCAGGUGGGCAGUUUGACUGGGGCGGUCGCCUCCUAAAGAGUAACGGAGGCGCCCAAAGGUUCCCUCAGAACGGUCAGAAACCGUUCGUUGAGUGCAUAGGCAAAAGGGAGCUUGACUGCGAGACGGACAGGUCGAGCAGGUACGAAAGUAGGGCUAAGUGAUCCGGCGGUACCGAAUGGAAGGGCCGUCGCUUAUCGGAUAAAAGCUACUCUGGGGAUAACAGGCUUAUCUCCCCCAAGAGUCCACAUCGACGGGGAGGUUUGGCACCUCGAUGUCGGAUCGUCGCAUCCUGGGGCUGUAGUAGGUCCCAAGGGUUGGGCUGUUCGCCCAUUAAAGCGGUACGCGAUCUGGGUUCAGAACGUCGUGAGACAGUUCGGUCCCUAUCCGCCGUGGGCGUAGGAGAUUUGAGGAGUGUCGACCCUAGUACGAGAGGACCGGGUUGAACGAACCUCUGGUGAACCGGUUGUCGUGCCAACGGCAUAGCCGGGUAGCUACGUUCGGAUCAGAUAAACGCUGAAAGCAUAUAAGCGUGAAACUGACUUCAAGAUGAGAUCUCAACCUCGAAAGAGUGAAGGGUCGUGGGAGACUACCACGUUGA
rnacentral:rRNA from 1 species